UAGGUCUCAUCACAUAUAAAUAUUCAUUUUAAUCUCUAUUAAAACAAUUUUGGUCCUCUUACAACUAUUGGUCCAUUUGAUUGUUUUAGUUGUAUAUAAUACUCCCACUAUGCUUUUAAAACGAUUUUUAAAGCAAGAGUAUAUGAUACUACUAACAUAAACUUUGCAUUCAUUUUAUGGACUAUAUAGUUGCCUUAGGGCCUUAGGAUGAUUAUGAACCUUUGUUUAGAUUCAACACGAGCCUUGUGUUGAAUCUCGGUCUAGGGAUGGUGAUUAAUUUUAGUUACGCGUUUAAUCACAUUAAGGCGUGUUGUCUUAGGGGCGUUGGACCCAACUACUUCAUUUUCAU
rnacentral:lncRNA from 1 species